rnacentral:rRNA from 1 species
AUACGGAGGGUGCGAGCGUUACUCGGAGUCACUGGGCGUAAAGCGUCCGUAGGCGGUCGGGUAAGUCGGGUGUGAAAGCCCCGGGCUCAACCUGGGAAGUGCACCCGAUACUGCUCGACUCGAGUACGGGAGAGGAUGGCGGAAUUCCCGGUGUAGCGGUGAAAUGCGUAGAGAUCGGGAGGAACACCAGUGGCGAAGGCGGCCAUCUGGCCCGCAGCUGACGCUGAGGGACGAAAGCGUGGGGAGCAAACAGGAUUAGAAACCCUAGUAGUCC